AUCGCUUCUCGGCCUUUUGGCUAAGAUCACGUGUAGUAUUUGUUCACAUCAGCUUAAUAAUAUCUUUGGGCCCUUGAAAUUAUUAUUUUGAAAAAUCUUAGCUUUGUAUAUUGUCAUCAAGGUAUAACAGGCACAGUAAAAAGUAA
rnacentral:snRNA from 1 species